rnacentral:lncRNA from 1 species
AUUAUUUAUUUAUUUCAAACACUAUUACAUUUGCAGACUAUUAUUUAUAAAGGGAAGACAAAAUUAUUUUUCUAUAUUACAUUAAUUCAAAACUGGCCUGCUAAGCAAAGAUAUGUAAACUGUAAUUUUAUAAACACAAUGAGGAAUUUAUUGUACAAAUUGCUCUUUCCCCAAGAACAUCUUGAAAAAAAGUUUAAAAAUAGAUGCCAAAAAUAUCCCCCUUUAAAUAUACAUGUCCAUUCUGUUCCUAAAGAUAUCCUUCAUUAAAAACACCUGUCUUUUAUUAACACCCCCUCCCAAAUCCCAUGUUAACUGAAACCUAGCCGAAGAGUACUACUAGUAGUACUGUAAGUAGUGAAGGCAUAAAUAGUGUGGAAAGCCCUGUGCAAAGUGAUGACAGCACAGUACUUACAGAUUAUAAUGUUCAUUAUAUUUGCAUUUGUUUCAGUGAAUGCUGUAGAAAGCUAAAACUGGUGGAACCUGUACAAAUUAUUUGGGGGUGGAUAUUCAUAUUUAGAUGGGUAAUUUUUAAGUAUCAGAGAAUCCAGGCAAAGCACACACCAACUGUUGCUUUUAAUCCUGCUAGUCAAUAGGGCUUUUUUUCAGAAACUGAGGUUGAUUAAUUCAAAUUAUUUCAAAUGUUUAAUAAAGUAAGUCCACAUUGGAGCCCUAGAUCAAGACAUUUCAAAGGCUUCCAAAUACUUUUGGAGAAAACUUCUUGAUAUACAUUUAUUUAAUGCAUGAAAUACCACUAGGUAGACACCUGAAUGAAUAAGAGAACACAUCUUCAAACAUUUUACAUUUGUUUUUCUUUGCCCAGCAGGGAGUACCUUCAUGCUCUUCAUACCCCAAGAGAAAGUGAACUUGAAACCUUUCCUCUUUUUUUUUUUUAUAGUCCUUUCUGGCACUUCUUUUGGAAUGAGGCUUUCAGGAAACUGCGGUAGCUGGGGUCAUCCACAUACUCAUUCUUAAAUCUGGAGCUCAAUACCCGCUGCCUUUUCUUUUGUCCUUGGAUAAUAUCGGCACCAUAGAACGUAUCUUCAAACCUCAUAUCAGAAGCUGUAGACUAAAAACAGAGAUUAAGAAUAUGUUUCACCUUUAUCUAUAUUGCCCCUCCUGACAGAGGAU